rnacentral:tRNA from 1 species
GCCAGCGUGGUGUAGUGAUCUGAGUGUUGGACUGUAACUCUGGAAACCAGGGUUCAAUUCCCAGCUUGGUCA